rnacentral:rRNA from 1 species
UGUGACCUACGGGGCGCAGCAGUGGGGAAUAUUGCACAAUGGGGGGAACCCUGAUGCAGCGACGCCGCGUGGGUGAAGGAGCACCUCGGUGCGUAAAGCCCUAUCGGCAGGGAAGAAAAGCGAACAGGGUCGCCUGGACGGUACCUGACUAAGAAGCCCCGGCUAACUACGUGCCAGCAGCCGCGGUAAUACGUAGGGGGCAAGCGUUAUCCGGAUUUACUGGGGGUAAAGGGGGCGCAGACGGCGAUGCAAGCCAGGAGUGAAAGCCCGGGGCCCAACCCCGGGACUGCUCUUGGAACAGCGUG